rnacentral:rRNA from 1 species
GAAUAUUGGACAAUGGGCGCAAGCCUGAUCCAGCCAUGCCGCGUGCAGGAAGACGGCCCUAUGGGUUGUAAAGCUCUUUUACCCGGGAUGAUAAUGACAGUACCGGGAGAAUAAGCUCCGGCUAACUCCGUGCCAGCAGCCGCGGUAAUACGGAGGGAGCUAGCGUUGUUCGGAAUUACUGGGCGUAAAGCGCGCGUAGGCGGUUACUCAAGUCAGAGGUGAAAGCCCGGGGCUCAACCCCGGAACUGCCUUUGAAACUAGGUGACUAGAAUCUUGGAGAGGUCAGUGGAAUUCCGAGUGUAGAGGUGAAAUUCGUAGAUAUUCGGAAGAACACCAGUGGCGAAGGCGACUGACUGGACAAGUAUUGACGCUGAGGUGCGAAAGCGUGGGGAGCAAA